CGUUGUUUCACCCUGACGCCGAGAGGUCACUCGAACGGAAGUAUAUGCAGCAGAGUAAACACCAUAACAUCCACAGGUUAAUGAUGAAAGUUGACCCAAACCUAUACAAUUCACACUCAAGUAAUUGAUUCAACAGAAAGUAAACAUCAUAACAUCGACAAGUUAAUGAUGGAACUUGAAAGCAACCGACAGAAUCCUUUCUCUGUCACUAAAACAAAUGAAAUCUGUUAAAGGGAUUUGCUAGAAACCUCAAGAAACAUUUAUUGACACCUUGGAAAUAGGUGAUCUCAUGAAAGAACCAAUUAUUGGAAUCCUGGAAAUAGUUUCCUAAUGGUUUGGAGAAUCACCAAAACGACAAAACAGUCUCGUGCAUGUUGUGAAAGCCUGGAAACAUUUUCUAAAUCAGAGAGUUGAAAAGAUGCGUUCUCUGUCACAGUGGCGUCAAGACUUUUGAGUGUGCUGGAUGUGAGAAAACAUUCACACUAUCAGCUUAUCUCCAGACACACAUGGAGAUUCACAGCAGAGUCAAGCCUUAUGAAUUUUUUUGGGAAUGUGGGAAAACAUUUACAUGAUUAUAUACUCUUAAUGCACAUAUGAGGAUUCACAGUGGAAUCAAGUCUUAUUAAAUGUGGGAAACAAUUUACACUAUCAGGUACUCUUUGGGAAACACAUGAAGAUUCACAGUGGAUUCAAAUCUCAUUAGUGCAUUGUGUGUGGGAAAACAUUUACACAAUCAGUUCAUCUGCAGAGACACAUGAAGAUUCACAGUGGAAUCAAGCCUUAUAAAUGUGAGGAAUGUGGGAAAUAAUUUACACAUUCAUGUGCUCUAGAGAAAAACAGGAAGAUUCACAGUGGAAUGAAACCUUAUCAGUCCAUUGUGUGUGUGAGAAACAUUUACACAAACAGUUUCAGGAUUCAUACAGGAAUCAUGCCUUAUGAAUGUAGAGAAUGUGGAAAAGAAUUUACACAGUCCAAAAGUCUCCAAGCACACAUGAGAACUCACAGUGGAAUCAAGCCUUAUGAAUGUGUUGAAUGUGGGAAAAAAUUUAAACAAUCAAAUAUUCUGGGGACACACAUGAGGAUUCACAGUGGAAUUA